rnacentral:lncRNA from 1 species
CAGGGUCUGGAUGACUACGGGGCACGGUCUGUGAGCAGCGCGGAUGUCGAAGUGGCCAGAUUUUGAGCUGCCCCUGACUAGAGUUAGAAUCCCUUUGCCAAUGUCCAUCUGAAACCAACAGUGACCAAUGACAGAUCAGCCCCUCUGCUCAGCUGAUGGGGCUUCUCGGCACUGACACCCUGUCCCCACCCACCAGCUGAGGGUAACCACGGACAUCCGGAGAAGACCGCCUUGACCCACGCCCUAGCAUCAAGGCCCAGCCUGGGCUGGAUCCCAGGUGUUCCUGGUGAGGUGGCUGCCUCAAGAGGUCGAUGCCCCAACAGAGGGGUCAGCACGAGGGCGACAGGGAUCUCUGAUCCUAACUGGAACCUCAAGAGCCUCUGGAUGCAGAAGAGGACAUUCUGUCUGCUUGUAGGGAAGGGAGUUGAUUCCCUUGCUGAUUUUUAAACUUUUUUAGUUCACACGUGUCUGGUCAAUAAACAUGUGCCCACCCGUG